GUACGGGAGGCAGCAGUGGGGAAUCUUGCACAAUGGGGGAAACCCUGAUGCAGCGACGCCGCGUGAGCGAUGAAGUCCUUCGGGGCGUAAAGCUCUUUCGGCAGGGAAGAUGAUGACGGUACCUGCAGAAGCAGCUGCGGCUAACUACGUGCCAGCAGCCGCGGUAAUACGUAGGCAGCAAGCGUUGUUCGGAGUUACUGGGCGUAAAGGGUGUGUAGGCGGUCUUUUAAGUUCGGUGUGAAAUCUCCCGGCUCAACCGGGAGGGCGCGCCGGAUACUGAAGGACUCGAGUGCGGGAGAGGAGAGUGGAAUUCCUGGUGUAGCGGUGAAAUGCGUAGAUAUCAGGAGGAACACCGGUGGUGUAGGCGGCUCUCUGGACCGCGACUGACGCUGAGACACGAAAGCGUGGGUAGCAAACAGGAUUAGAUACCCCUGUAU
rnacentral:rRNA from 1 species